AAAUUUAAUCUUAAAGAAAAUUUUCAGAAAUAACUCCUGAUAUCUCUAUCUGUCUAUCUAUCUAUCGAUCUGUGUUUUUUUGGAAAUAACUCCUGAUAUCUCUAUCUGUCUAUCUAUCUAUCGAUCUGUGUUUUUUUGGAAAUAACUCCUGAUAUCUCUAUCUGUCUAUCUAUCUAUCGAUCUGUGUUUUUUUGGAAAUAACUCCUGAUAUCUCUAUCUGUCUAUCUAUCUAUCGAUCUGUGUUUUUCUGGUGCGCUUACGCGCGUAC
rnacentral:lncRNA from 1 species